UUUACACCGCCAUAUUGCACAGGAAUACGGAAUAAUCGGAAGACUUCUCGGUGGAGAUCGAACAUUAUUAUUCACAAUGAGCGAUGAUGACAGGGACAUCGACGUUGAGAGUGACGACGAAUUAAACGAUGGUGAACCGGACAAUCGCACACAGGGUGGAUGUCAGGCUGCCGGGGUGGAAUUCAGCCGGAAUUGCCAAUGGAAGUGGACGUACCUGCACAGUCGUGAGCUUGGAGACUGAAGCCUUGCCCUAUACAGUUGUGAACAUUUUUUUCAAUCAAGUUUUAGGGCCACUCGGUGUUAUUCCCAUUUGAAAUAUAAUCAGGGGCGGAUCCAGCAUUUCCCUACAGGGCCAGGGGGGCAUUUUGUAUAGGAAUUUUUUGACAAAAAGUCUUCACUGCCAAAUCAUAGUAAUUUGUUUCCCCCAGGAAAAAUUUGACAAGCAAAAAAAAAAAAGGUUCUCAGUUGCCUUUUGAGUACCUCUCAAGGGGGAGAGGCCGAAUGUGCAACCCCCCCCCCCUGAUUCGCCACUGGAACUAAUGUCCAUUUCAUUUAGUUUGUAAUUUUUUACAGGAGGAAAGAAUGGAGUAAGAAGUUUUGUGUUUUGUAUUUUUACCAAUUAUUGUUUAUUCAAAGUAAAACGUAUUUAAGUUAGUAUUGUUCCAAAAUGCAUCACUAAUCUUAAUUAACUUGUUUAAAUUUUAAAUGUAAGCCUGAAUAAUAAUGAAUUGUUAACUUUGAAUAAAUAGAAAUAUACAUGUAUAUGUCAUAUUCUGUAAAUUGUAAUAUUUUCAAAUCAUAUUUUAUCUCCAUUCUUAUCUAAUCAUUGUCUCCCUUUCUCAUUAUGUUCAUCACUCUUCAAUUAAAUUUAUAUUCUAUUACUGGUAUAAAAAAAAGCCAACAAUACUAAACACUGAUACAUCGAUCAAUAAAAAAAACAAAGAAAAAGAGGGAAAAUACAAAGAAAUGACAGGUACAUGGAGGGCCCAGGCCGGGGGUAACGACAAAUCAUGCUUGUCUGGGUAUUAAAAACAGGAGAAGGGUGGUCAAUACAAUAUUGCAAAUAGAAACUAUGAAGUGGGUUUUGUUUUUAUCAAAUAAUAUUUGCAGUUCCUUUGGAGUGAUGUUGUUUUUGUUUUUCUUUAAUAGAAUAUCACCCAUUCUAGAAAACUGAACUUUGUAUCUAACACUUAGUUGCCCUAGUGUUGUUUUCCAAUCUACAUUUUCUAGUUCCUGGUAUCAUGAUUAUGGAUGUAAUCAUUUAAGGUGUACCAGUUAGAAAAUUUUUGACUUUUUGUAUAUAUUUACAUAAAUUAUGCAAGUUGCAGGUCACGUGGUUGAUAAAUUGUUGACACAAGCAUUAGCUCUAUGAUCACCUUCUCAAUGACUCUUAAGACAAGCUUCUGUAACAAUAAAAUUAUUGUAUUUACUAGAUAAUUUG